rnacentral:lncRNA from 1 species
CACGUAAAAAAUGCUUCAGACCAGUCCCGUCUCAGUAGCUUACCCGAACAAAGCGCUAUUAAUCGCAGUAGGCGAGAAAAUAAUGCGAG